rnacentral:rRNA from 1 species
CCUACGGGUGGCUGCAGUAGGGAAUAUUGGACAAUGGGCGCAAGCCUGAUCCAGCCAUCCCGCGUGAAGGAUUAAGGCCCUCUGGGUUGUAAACUUCUUUUCUUUGGGAAUAAAAACUCCGAUUCAUCGGAGCUUGAAGGUACCAGAGGAAUAAGCACCGGCUAACUCCGUGCCAGCAGCCGCGGUAAUACGGAGGGUGCAAGCGUUAUCGGGAUUCAAGGGGGUUAAGGUGGCUGUGUAAGGCUGUGUUGAAAGCCCGGAGCUCAACUCCGGAACUGCCAUUGAUACUGCUUAGCUUGAAUCAGGUCGAGGUGGAUGGAAUAUUACAUGUAGCGGUGAAAUGCUUAGAUAUGUAAUAGAACACCGAUUGCGAAGGCAGUUCACUAGGCCUGUAUUGACACUGAGGCACGAAAGCGUGGGGAUCAAACAGGAUUAGAUACCCCAGUAGUC